AUGCCCGAGCGAGCACGCGCGCGCGCUCACGCUCGCCGGCAUACAGACACACGGAGAGUCAGGCUAGCAUCUGAUGCUGACUCAGAGCGCUUCUGUGUGCAAGGGGUGGCGGCGGCUGGUAUUUUCACUGCGCUCAUCAUUAACAUUAACGCACAGUCUGGCAUCCACCCUCUCCCAGACCUGCUGGACUGCGGCAUUUGCAUGACGCUGUCACUCUUGCCUCUGCAGGAAUUAGAAGACCAGCCCUGCCAGGAUCUGACUAAUCAAUGUGAUUUACACUGUGGUGAAAUGCUAAAUUGUGGACUGACAUCAACCAACAAGGCACAAAGCACUGCACCGAAGCUGGACCAAUCCUUGCCAUCAGCUGGCAGCAGAAUGGUAGACGGUGGGAGAGACCCUGAAUCCUUCCAGGCUGGGCUGACUUGAGAAAUGAGAACUGCACACGUUUGACUCCCGAACCGAAGGGGUGAAAAGGCUGGGUGCCAGUUUGCUACUCGGCUGAAAUGAUCUCAUGUUCACUGCUCUGUCGUCCUGUUCGACCAGUUCAAAUGCCUGUUCAUUAUAAACCAAAUACAUACAUAAAUAAAUAACCCAACUACUUGGAUUCUUCA
rnacentral:lncRNA from 1 species